rnacentral:rRNA from 1 species
AGUGAACGCUGGCGGUAGGCCUAACACAUGCAAGUCGAACGGCAGCACAGUAAGAGCUUGCUCUUACGGGUGGCGAGUGGCGGACGGGUGAGGAAUACAUCGGAAUCUACUUUUUCGUGGGGGAUAACGUAGGGAAACUUACGCUAAUACCGCAUACGACCUACGGGUGAAAGCAGGGGAUCUUCGGACCUUGCGCGAUUGAAUGAGCCGAUGUCGGAUUAGCUAGUUGGCGGGGUAAAGGCCCACCAAGGCGACGAUCCGUAGCUGGUCUGAGAGGAUGAUCAGCCACACUGGAACUGAGACACGGUCCAGACUCCUACGGGAGGCAGCAGUGGGGAAUAUUGGACAAUGGGCGCAAGCCUGAUCCAGCCAUACCGCGUGGGUGAAGAAGGCCUUCGGGUUGUAAGGCCCUUUUGUUGGGAAAGAAAAGCAGCAGGUUGAUACCCCGCUGUUCUGACGGUACCCAAAGAAUAAGCACCGGCUAACUUCGUG